GAUGAAGAACGCAGCGAAAUGCGAUAAGUAAUGUGAAUUGCAGAAUUCAGUGAAUCAUCGAAUCUUUGAACGCACAUUGCGCCCCUUGGUAUUCCGGGGGGCAUGCCUGUCCGAGCGUCAUUGCUGCCCUCAAGCACGGCUUGUGUGUUGGGCCUCCGUCCUCCUCCCGGGGGACGGGCCCGAAAGGCAGCGGCGGCACCGCGUCUGGUCCUCGAGCGUAUGGGGCUUCGUCACCCGCUCUUGUAGGCCCGGCCGGCGCUUGCCGACACAUCAAUCUUUUUUCCAGGUUGACCUCGGAUCAGGUAGGGAUACCCGCUGAACUUAAGCAUAUCAAUAAGCGGAGGA
rnacentral:misc_RNA from 1 species